CGCAUCUGUGCAUGCAGCAUAUCAAUAAGCGGAGGAAAAGAAACUAACAAGGAUUCCCUCAGUAACGGCGAGUGAAGCGGGAAGAGCUCAAAUUUGAAAUCUUGAAAGGUCUACCUCUGCACGAAUUGUAGUUUAAAGAAGUGUUUUCUGUUACGAUCGUAAUAUAAGUUCUUUGGAAUAGGACAUCACAGAGAGUGAGAAUCCCGUCUAUGAUUGCGAUUUGUAGCUUUGUGAUACACUUUCAAAGAGUCGGGUUGUUUGGGAAUGCAGCCCAAAACGGGAGGUAAAUUUCUUCUAAGGCUAAAUAUUGGCGAGAGACCGAUAGCGAACAAGUACCGUGAGGGAAAGAUGAAAAGAACUUUGAAAAGAGAGUUAAAUAGUACGUGAAAUUGUCAAAAGGGAAGCGUUUAACACCAGUGUUGUUUUCUGAAAAUCAACCUCUGUUAGCUUUAUGCAUGUUUGUUUAGACCUAAUCAGCUAUCUUGCAUGUUCUAUUGUUUGCAGUGGUGCACUUUUCAGUUUACAGGUCAACAUCAGUUUUUUUUACCGUAAAAAAGUUAAAGAAAGGUAGCUCAUGGCUCCGGUCGUGAGUGUUAUAGUCUUUUUCCUAUGCGGUAGGAGAGACUGAGGUCUGCAGUGUAGGCUAUUUGGCUAGAUACUCAGGUGCUAUGUGAUACCAUUUCAUAAACAACUUGUUGAUUAUGUUUUGUCUAUUGCAUACUCGCUUGUACUAUCAUACCUACGCUUAGGAUGUUGACGAUCAGCUGAGCGCG
rnacentral:rRNA from 1 species